UACGUAGGGGGCAAGCGUUGUCCGGAUUUAUUGGGCGUAAAGAGCUCGUAGGUGGUUCGGUAAGUCGGGUGUGAAAACUCCGGGCUCAACCCGGAGACGCCACCCGAUACUGUCGUGACUGGAGUCCGGUAGGGGAGUGGGGAAUUCCUGGUGUAGCGGUGAAAUGCGCAGAUAUCAGGAGGAACACCGGUGGCGAAGGCGCCACUCUGGGCCGGUACUGACGCUGAGGAGCGAAAGCGUGGGUAGCAAACAGGA
rnacentral:rRNA from 1 species